UACGAAGGGGGCUAGCGUUGCUCGGAAUCACUGGGCGUAAAGGGUGCGUAGGCGGGUCUUAAGUCAGGGGUGAAAUCCCGGAGCUCAACUUCGGAACUGCCCUUGAUACAGCACGUCUUGAGUCCGGAAGAGGUGGGUGGAAUUCCUAGUGUAGAGGUGAAAUUCGUAGAUAUUAGGAAGAACACCGGUGGCGAAGGCGGCCCACUGGUCCGGUACUGACGCUGAGGUGCGAAAGCGUGGGGAGCAAACAGG
rnacentral:rRNA from 1 species